rfam:Trichobilharzia regenti genome assembly, scaffold: TRE_scaffold0044013
GUCUAGCUGCCGAGUCCCAAAUAGGACGAAAUGCGCAUCCUGACUUGAU